rnacentral:rRNA from 1 species
UACGGAGGGUGCAAGCGUUAUCCGGAUUUACUGGGUUUAAAGGGUGCGUAGGCGGACUUUUAAGUCAGGGGUGAAAUCCCGGGGCUCAACCCCGGAACUGCCUUUGAUACUAUUGGUCUUGAAUGUUGUGGAGGUGGGCGGAACGGGUCAUGUAGCGGUGAAAUGCAUAGAUAUGACCCGGAACACCGACUGCGAAGGCAGCCCGCUACGCAACGAUUGACGCUGAGGCACGAAAGCGUGGGGAGCAAACAGG